rnacentral:tRNA from 15 species
GGAUAGCUCAGUCGGUAGAGCAGAGGAUUGAAAAUCCUCGUGUCGGUGGUUCGAUUCCGCCUCCG